rnacentral:rRNA from 1 species
UGGGAGGUAAAUUUCUCCUAAGGCUAAAUAUCGGCGAGAGACCGAUAGCGAACAAGUACCGUGAGGGAAAGAUGAAAAGAACUUUGAAAAGAGAGUAAAAUAGUACGUGAAAUUGUUGAAAGGGAAACGAUUGAAGUCAGUCGUACCGACGAGAAAUCAGCUCUUUGAGUGCGUUCUUGUGGGCGUGUGUGAGUCUUUAACGGGCCUCGCUGUUUGCAUGUUUGUGCUUUUUGGGUGUACUUUUUCGUAUGGUAGGCCAACGUCAGUUUCGAUUACCAUAAAAUGAUCAGAGGAAUGUAGCUUCGAUUUCGAUUGAAGUGUUAUAGCCUUUGGUAGAUGUGGUAAUCGAAACUGAGGAUUGCAACGAAUACCUUUUGGGCUAUCCGUCUGACCUCUGAAAGUUACUUAGGAGCCGAAAGCUUGCUUACGGUUAUUUAAGUUGGCGGUCAAUAGGUUAGAACGUGAUUACAUUCGUUAAGGACGUUGGCGUAAUGGCUUUAAACGACCCGUCUUGAAACACGGACCAAGGAGUCUAACAUAUAUGCGAGUGUUCGGGUGUUCAAACCCCUACGCGUAAUGAAAGUAAUUUUGGUGGGAUCGCUUUUCUGCGUGCACCAUCGACC